rnacentral:rRNA from 1 species
AAAACAUUUCUUUAUGAAAAUAAUAAUAAGUAUUUCCUGCCCACUGAAUAAUUGAAUGGCCGCAGUAUUUUAACUGUGCAAAGGUAGCAUAAUAAAUUGUUCUUUAAAUAAGAUCUGGAAUGAAAGGAAGAAUGAAUUAAAUUCUUUAUUGAAUUUAUAAAUUGAAUUUAAAUUUAAAGUUAAAAUGCUUUAAUAAAUUUAUGGGACGAGAAGACCCUAUAGAAUUUUAUUUAUAUAUUUAUAUUUUUAUAUAUUUAUAUAAAUUUAUUUGGGAGGAAUUUUAAAUUUAAUAACUUUAAAUAAUUAAAACAAAAAUAAUUGAAUAAUUAAAGAUUUUAUGAUAUUAUAAAUGGAAAAUUAAAUUACCUUAGGGAUAACAGCAUAAUAUUUUUAAGAAGAUCAUAUUUAUAAAAAUGUUU